GACGAACGCUGGCGGCGUGCCUAAUACAUGCAAGUCGAACGAACUCUGGUAUUGAUUGGUGCUUGCAUCAUGAUUUACAUUUGAGUGAGUGGCGAACUGGUGAGUAACACGUGGGAAACCUGCCCAGAAGCGGGGGAUAACACCUGGAAACAGAUGCUAAUACCGCAUAACAACUUGGACCGCAUGGUCCGAGCUUGAAAGAUGGCUUCGGCUAUCACUUUUGGAUGGUCCCGCGGCGUAUUAGCUAGAUGGUGGGGUAACGGCUCACCAUGGCAAUGAUACGUAGCCGACCUGAGAGGGUAAUCGGCCACAUUGGGACUGAGACACGGCCCAAACUCCUACGGGAGGCAGCAGUAGGGAAUCUUCCACAAUGGACGAAAGUCUGAUGGGGCAACGCCGCGUGAGUGAAGAAGGGUUUCGGCUCGUAAAACUCUGUUGUUAAAGAAGAACAUAUCUGAGAGUAACUGUUCAGGUAUUGACGGUAUUUAACCAGAAAGCCACGGCUAACUACGUGCCAGCAGCCGCGGUAAUACGUAGGUGGCAAGCGUUGUCCGGAUUUAUUGGGCGUAAAGCGAGCGCAGGCGGUUUUUUAAGUCUGAUGUGGAAGCCUUCGGCUCAACCGAAGAAGUGCAUCGGAAACUGGGAAACUUGAGUGCAGAAGAGGACAGUGGAACUCCAUGUGUAGCGGUGAAAUGCGUAGAUAUAUGGAAGAACACCAGUGGCGAAGGCGGUUGUCUGGUCUGUAACUGACGCUGAGGCUCGAAAGUAUGGGUAGCAAACAGGAUUAGAUACCCUGGUAGUCCAUACCGUAAACGAUGAAUGCUAAGUGUUGGAGGGUUUCCGCCCUUCAGUGCUGCAGCUAACGCAUUAAGCAUUCCGCCUGGGGAGUACGGCCGCAAGGCUGAAACUCAAAGGAAUUGACGGGGGCCCGCACAAGCGGUGGAGCAUGUGGUUUAAUUCGAAGCUACGCGAAGAACCUUACCAGGUCUUGACAUACUAUGCAAAUCUAAGAGAUUAGACGUUCCCUUCGGGGACAUGGAUACAGGUGGUGCAUGGUUGUCGUCAGCUCGUGUCGUGAGAUGUUGGGUUAAGUCCCGCAACGAGCGCAACCCUUAUUAUCAGUUGCCAGCAUUAAGUUGGGCACUCUGGUGAGACUGCCGGUGACAAACCGGAGGAAGGUGGGGAUGACGUCAAAUCAUCAUGCCCCUUAUGACCUGGGCUACACACGUGCUACAAUGGAUGGUACAACGAGUUGCGAACUCGCGAGAGUAAGCUAAUCUCUUAAAGCCAUUCUCAGUUCGGAUUGUAGGCUGCAACUCGCCUACAUGAAGUCGGAAUCGCUAGUAAUCGCGGAUCAGCAUGCCGCGGUGAAUACGUUCCCGGGCCUUGUACACACCGCCCGUCACACCAUGAGAGUUUGUAACACCCAAAGUCGGUGGGGUAACCUUUUAGGAACCAGCCGCCUAAGGUGGGACAGUUGAUUAGGGUG
rnacentral:rRNA from 1 species